GACGAACGCUGGCGGCGUGCUUAACACAUGCAAGUCGAACGGAAAGGCCCUGCUUUUGUGGGGUGCUCGAGUGGCGAACGGGUGAGUAACACGUGAGUAACCUGCCCUUGACUUUGGGAUAACUUCAGGAAACUGGGGCUAAUACCGGAUAGGAGCUCCUGCUGCAUGGUGGGGGUUGGAAAGUUUCGGCGGUUGGGGAUGGACUCGCGGCUUAUCAGCUUGUUGGUGGGGUAGUGGCUUACCAAGGCUUUGACGGGUAGCCGGCCUGAGAGGGUGACCGGCAACAUUGGGACUGAGAUACGGCCCAGACUGCUACGGGAGGCAGCAGUGGGGAAUAUUGCACAAUGGGCGGAAGCCUGAUGCAGCAACGCCGCGUGCGGGAUGACGGCCUUCGGGUGGUAAACCGCUUUCGCCUGUGACGAAGCGUGAGUGACGGUAAUGGGUAAAGAAGCACCGGCUAACUACGU
rnacentral:rRNA from 1 species